GUAGGGAAUCUUGCGCAAUGGGCGAAAGCCUGACGCAGCCAUGCCGCGUGAAUGAUGAAGGUCUUAGGAUUGUAAAAUUCUUUCACCGGGGACGAUAAUGACGGUACCCGGAGAAGAAGCCCCGGCUAACUUCGUGCCAGCAGCCGCGGUAAUACGAAGGGGGCUAGCGUUGCUCGGAAUUACUGGGCGUAAAGGGAGCGUAGGCGGAUAGUUUAGUCAGAGGUGAAAGCCCAGGGCUCAACCUUGGAAUUGCCUUUGAUACUGGCUAUCUUGAGUAUGGAAGAGGUAUGUGGAACUCCGAGGUUAGAGGUGAAAUUCGUAGAUAUUCGGAAGAACACCAGUGGCGAAGGCGACAUACUGGUCCAUUACUGACGCUGAGGCUCGAAAGCGUGGGGAGCAAACAGGAUUAGAAACCCGUGUAGUCC
rnacentral:rRNA from 1 species